rnacentral:rRNA from 1 species
AUGUCCACAUUCGUGCUGAACAAGAUGUGUGAGCUCAUCUCUAGUGGAGUUAGGACUGACAAAGGCUUCAAGAAGGUGCACUUGAACACCGUUGCGAAGCAGGUGUUCGAGUUCUGUGGGCAAGAGGUGUCUGCCACUCAGGUGUACAACCACUUGAGGAAGUGGAGAAGUCGAUGGAUCCAAGGGUCCAAGCUGAGAGACCUUAGCGGCGCCUCAUGGGAUGAGAACACUUGCUGCAUAGUUCUGGAGGCAGAGCACUACGCCGGCCAUGUCACGGGUGGCUUCAGCGACGAGGCCCUCAUGGCAGCUCUCAGCCACCUGCUUGACAACAAGGCUCAGGGUGUUGGGUUCGUUGCCAUGGCCGACGCUCACAGGGGCAAGUGGUAUGCCGCGUUCAUCGGUAAGGUCCCAGGGGUUUAUAGGCCAUGGGAAGAAGCCAGUGCACAAGUUGCAUCGUAUAGCAACAUCACCCAUAGUGGGUUCAAGACUAGGCAGGCAGCAGAAAAAGCUUACUCCGAGUGGGUACAAAAGCACGACAGCAGUGCUGACAGUCGCAAGGUUGGAGGUGUCAAGGUGGAACGUCAGUUUGGGCUAAAGCUAAAGAACUUCAUCAUCUUCGCCCAGUUCAUCGCCAUUGAUGUGAUGUGGCGUUGGUGUGCUAGGUGUGGGUAA